GGAGAUGCUGGUCUCUCAGAAAUCAUCCUGACUGGAAGUCAGCUGGAGGUCAGGCUAAGCAGCACUGCUGGCUCCCAGGGAUUCCUUUCCCCUCAUCUGUCAGGAAGGACAGCACUGAGGCCAUGCUGAGGUGGACAGAGUGGUGCUCCCCACGCUGCCAGCUCUGCUGGCAGCGUGUGGCUAAUGCUGAGUACCAGGCAUUGUGUUUUGGUGGAGCUGGGCCAGAAAGGAAGAAAAAACCCCAUAAAAUCAUGGAAUCAUUAAAGUUGGAAAAGGCCUCUAAGAUCUAGUCCAGCUAUUAACCCAGUACUGCCAAGCCCAUCACUAACUGAUGUCCCCAGCUGCCACAUCCAUGCACUUUUUGAACACUGAUAUGAGGCUCAAGGAACCCCUUGGCCAAGUUACUUCGCUCCUGCCUCAGUUUCCUCUCUGCGUGAACUCUCACCAGGUGCCUUCCAGGGGCUGGAGAGCCCUGAACCUGCCACUGCCCAGAGCUGGAAGCGCUGCCUGGGGAUGAGCCAUGCUGGGGUGAUGAGCCUGGAGCACAGAGCAAACCCUGUGUCCCUGCACACCCCUCCUGGGAAGGAGGGCAGGCUGGGGGGAGCCCUGGUGUUUCCAGAGGAAGUUUUCCCUGCACAGAUCCAGCAAGGCUGCAGUCCUAGCGGUUCUCUGCAUGUUCAUGCAUCUGUGGUGUAAAUUGCCUGCCAGACACCCAGGCAUGGGGCACAGAAGGGCUCUGGAGAGCAGACUGGGAACAGGAAAAUGGAGCCUUGUUUUAGCCCUGCUACCUUUUGCAGAGGCUCCUUUCCAAUGGGAACACCAGCUCCCCUGUGCCCGGAGCAGUGGGUGGGUAACAGCACCCCUUGAGGAGGGGAGGAGGAAGCUGCCAGCUACUCACCAGGCUGCUCACCCCAUGGGAGCAAACUGCUGUGGGUUCUACUGGGAAAGAAGCACUAAUGGAGCUCUCCCAAAGUCCCAGCACAAAUUUGGUUCCUGGUCUGGAGAGGCCAGUGACGUGACAGCCACUGCCCCUCACCAGGUGCUCCAGAGGAAGCUGUGGGCACCCCAUGUUACUUGGUGGGGAAAAUCUGCAUGCGUCUUUAGGUUUCCUCUGGAGCCAUGAGCAGCACAGGAAUCAGUCACCAACGGACAAACACAAACACAGCUGCAAAUGACAACCCUGCUGCUGGGGAAAGCAGACGGAGAAUGGAGAACACAACUUCAUCUUGAGGGCUUUUCCUUAGGAGAAGCCACUCCAGUGCUUGUGCUCUUG